UACGUAGGGGGCAAGCGUUGUCCGGAAUUAUUGGGCGUAAAGAGCGUGUAGGCGGUCCGGUAAGUCAGCUGUGAAAGUCAAGGGCUCAACCCUUGAAUGCCGGUUGAUACUGUCGGGCUAGAGUCCGGAAGAGGCGAGUGGAAUUCCCGGUGUAGCGGUGAAAUGCGCAGAUAUCAGGAGGAACACCGAUGGCGAAGGCAGCUCGCUGGGACGGUACUGACGCUGAGACGCGAAAGCGUGGGGAGCGAUCCGG
rnacentral:rRNA from 1 species